UCGGCACCGCACGGCCCGUCUCCCUCUCUCUCGCUCUCCCACCGCGCCUCUCCCAGAUUCCGCUCCCGCACGCGCGACGCCGGAAACCGCUCCGCCAUCAGCGCUCCCCUCCCUAUCAGCCGCGGCGCCGUCCUCUGCCUCACCGAUCUGCCAUCGCCGCCGGCUCGCCCUCCACCGAUCCCCAUCGCUUGUCCUCCGCCCGGAUUCACGUCGCCGCCGACGCCUUCCACGCUGUUCUGCUCCACCGAUCCCUGCCGCACAAAGUCCUCUCGUGGCCAGGUCGCCGCCGACGCCUUCCGUGGUGAUCCGAUCUGCCACCGAUCCCCGCCGCCGGCUCGCCCUCCACUGAUCCCAACGGUGACUGGGUGUCGGUGGAGGACGAGCCGCCACCGAGUCCUAUGCCGCCGGAUCAACGUCGACCACCUGGCCAGUCUCCACCACAUCCCGAAUCCCGGCCUCCCACCACCCCGUCCCGCUGCGGCCUCCGUCAUCGACAGUCUGUCGCCGCCGCAUCUCCUUUCUCCCCUUCAUUACCGAGGGGCAUCUCUAUCUACAAAAGGAAAAAAAUUGAGGUAGGACAGAAGGAGCUGGCCACAUGCCUGAAGAGAACUGAUCAUCUCAGUGCAUGAUAACUGUUGCUCCUCGAUGACCAAGUCCCUGUGGAAGGCUUUCAAUUUUGGCAAGUUCUGAAUUUGAGCGAGACUGAAGGGGAACUCAAUUGUCUAAAAAAUGAAAUGGAAAUUGCUGUCCAUGGUGACUCUAUUGACCAUUGCUCAGAUCAAAGAAUCAUCUACUCGGUUGGUUAAGAAUCAUGAUAUGCUGUAUAUGCCCUCCAACCUUGGUGACCUGAAGGAAGUGGUUGUUCAUAUUCAGAGGGAUAUAAAAACUGUUGGUGAUUCCAUGUCUAUCAAGAUGCAAUAUUUGCAGAGCACUGCAAAUGACAUUGCAAAUGUUGUUGGCAAAUCAUUGGAGAAUCAUAUGCAGCUUUUGGAUGGGCAGAGUAAGGCCAUGGUCAGUCUGAUUAAUCUGUAGAGCUUGCAGCAUGAAUUGGAACACAAAAAUGGGGAUUAUCUGCAGUACGGCACUUGCAGUAGCAGCCACUGACAUUGAAUGUGGGCAGUACUUCCUUGUUGAUUCCUGACUCCCAUAUAAACAAAGAGGACUUGGAGCUGCUACAUUACGUCGACAGUGACCGUGCUUUCAGAUUCAGCAUAUGUGGCUUAUAUCGAUUGACCGAUCGAGGCGUGGCCCGUGCUGACCAACGGCGUUGCCGCGGCUGCCAUCUUCACUCAGGUUUUCCUCUCUUUGUCAAAACUACAAGGGAAGGCCAUGUAUGCCAUGGGACUGAUUGCACUGCAGAACAAGUUCCUUCGUGCCUGGUAGUGCGACUUUAUUUCUCUAUUGCUAUAUGUGGUGAAUGAAAAUUGUGGUGGAAUAUUCUGUUUUUGAUCAAUGGAAGCUAUAUGUAGAGGUAAAAUUUGUAAUAAUUGCAGCCUAUUUUGUUGUUUAUUAUGUACUCUGAAAGAGUGAAUAAUGUACUUUGGGAGAUGAAUUAAGAAAUGAAUUUCCAAAUUUGAUUGCAUGA